rnacentral:tRNA from 5 species
UCCUCGGUAGCUCAACGGUGGAGCAUCCGGCUGUUAACCGGAGGGUUGUAGGUUCGAAUCCUACCCGGGGAGCCA